GCUCUCUGCUGGGCCGGACCCUGUCAUCCAGAAACAAUUGCAUCUGCACUAAUGGCGCGUUCGUCGAAGGUGACGGGAAAACAGGUUUGGCCUCGGGGCUCCUGAUGCGAGAGGAUGAGAAGAGCCCAAGCUUGCGCCUCUCCAUAGCGUGAGGCAGUUAGAUAGGAAGGGGGGGGGGGAUGCCCUUGGAAGUGCUCCCUGAUUUCCUCUUAUCUCCGUGCCACUCCCCACCCCUCCCACCCCCCAGUCUUUUGGAAAUGAUGUUAUUGAACGUACUUUUGACUCUCACUAGACAUGGAUAAUGUGAAGGAUGAAAAAAGUAGGACGCUCUGUGCAACUUCACAAGAAGAACUCAAAGUCAGAGGAAAAGAAAAAAGGAAACGAAAACGCAGUAGAAGCAGAUCAUCAUCCGUUUCAUCCACAUCGUCUUCUAGCACUACAUCCACUUCUUCCUCCUCAUCAUGCUCAUCAUCAAGGUCAUCUUCAAGUAGCAGAGAUUCUCCUAAGUCUAAAUCAAAGAAAAAGAAAAAAGAAAAACACAAUAAAAAGAAAAGGAAAAAAGAUAACAAAAUGAAGAAAAAGAAAGAAAAGAAGAAAAAGAGAGAGAAAACAGGACCUGUCCAGCUUUCCAAGGUAUGCUUGUGUGAGUUGGAAGUCCCAUUAUAUUUCUCAUCACUUCAUCUUUCCUGUCUUAAACAGCACCAGUUUUUUCAUCAGCAAGUAAAAACCCAUCUGUAUUGUUUUGGACAGUUAGGGAGUAUAAAAAAUUAUUGUCUGUAG
rnacentral:lncRNA from 1 species